rnacentral:lncRNA from 1 species
UUCGACUCCAUUGCUAGGAAAACCUUCUCCACCUCGCCUGCUUCGAAUCCGCCGUGGUAAUCUUUAUCGUUUAAGAACCUGAAGUUAGGUCAAAGAUCAGUUCAUCCUCCAGUAAUAAUCAACAUGUAUGUUCGAAAUUAAAAGCAAAUGAGAUGCCAAUGAAUCAAAGCAGUUGAUAAUUUAAUAUAGCCUAGGAAUUUCCAGCAGUUCAAUGGAAGAAUUUGUUCUAUUUGUCGGAAACAAUUAUUCCAAAAUUCAAACCGAACAAAUUCGUUUUCUAUUUCAUUUUGAUCUGACUAGCGAAAUUUUACUGAUAGUCGAACAACAUUAACAUGAAUUCCACAGAUCUCCAUAUCCGUAACAGAUUUAAACAUAAUUCGAGGAUACCUUGGAGAAGCGCCGAUGAGGAUGAGCUUGGAGAAGAGCUCAGGUCGACGAAUCGCCGCAAGGAUUCCGAUCAUCGACGAAAGUGAAUGACCGACGUAAAAGC